UUGCCUUCUGCUAGAAGGAAAUGUAGGCUACUGGGAAAGGACAGAGCCAGGUCUGUGUGCCUCUCCCUGGAGUCCCUGACACUUGCUGUUUUGGCUUGAAGCCUUUGGCCAUUAAAGUUGCCUGUAUCCAGGCAUGACUGGCCCCUGCUCAGGGCCAAGAGAGGGUGAGUCUUGCAAACCAAGGAAGCCCAGGUACCCUGUCUGCUUCCUUCAGGGUCUGGACCACUCCUUUCCCUAUAGGCCUUCCAGUCGGCUGGAGAGUGUUGGUGCAUGUGUGCAUGUGUGCAUGUGUGUGGGUGGGGCUGAGGUCUGGGGGUACCUGGGAUUCCACAAGGGAUUCCUCUUUGCAGGCAUAUGGUGUCUUUGGUGAAUUAAUUAUUUAAUUCAAUGGAUGUUUAUUAAGAUAUUGAUUAAGUCCCUCCUGGGUGCUUGGCUCUAGGGAAUGAUUCCUUGACCUCAUGGAAUUUGCAUUGUAGCAAGGGAGGCAGACUUGAGGCGAGGAGCAGAUGACAGAGAGCAGUAACAGCUCUGAAGAAAAGCUAGAGGCUGAUGAGAUGACCAUGACUUGGGGUGAGGGGAGAGAGCAAGACAAGGGCUGCUCUGUCGGGAAGGCCUUUGACUGGGGGCCUGAAUGAUGGAGAGCCAACCACAUGAAAAACUUAAAAACAGCACUGCAAAAAAAGUACUGCCGGCAAGGAAUUGGUAAAUGCAAAGGCCCUGGGGCAUGUUGAAGGGUGGAAGGAAGGCCAGUGGAGCUGGAGUCAAGAGAUGGAGGGGCAGCUUGGUGGGUGAAGAGCCCCAGGGACCUGCAGUGUCAUCACCUAGGAGCUUCCUAGAAAUGCAGACUGAGGCCGGGUGCGGUGGCUUACGCCUGUAAUCCCAGCACUUUGGGAGGCCGAGGCAAGCGGAUCACCUGAGGUCAGGAGAUCAAGACCAGCUUGGCCAACAUGGCGAAACCCCGUCUCUACUAAAAAAAAUACAAAACUUAGCCGGGCGUGGUGGCAGGUGCCUGUAAUCCCAGCUACUAGGGAGGCUGAGGCAGGAUAAUUGCCUGAACCCAGUCAGAAGGUGGAGGUUGCAGUGAGUCGAGAUCAUGCCACUGCACUCCAGCCUGGGUGACAGAGCGAGACUGUGUCUCAAACAAACAAACAAAAAAACACAAAAAAAGAAAUACAGACUGAAAGCCCCAGCCUAGACUUGCUGAAACAUAAGCUUUUUUUUUUUUAUAUAUCAAGAUCCCCAGGUGAUCUGUGAGAAUUACUCCCCUAGUAUCUCAUUUUAUAGAUGGGGAGACUGAGAGCCAGAGAGAGGAAGGGACUUCCUAGAGUGCUGGAGCUGACAGUCCUGUCCCUGCCCUGGUGCCCCUUCCAACUGCAUUUUACCAGAAAGGCUGUCUGACUUCCUGGGGAGGCUGAGAGUGAGGAGGGUAUGAACCACUAGAAGCAGAUGAUCUGUAGAGGGGUCUGCGUUGAGCACAUUGUGGAGAAUUGGUGUCCUCUGCAAAGCUGCCCAGGUUUUAGCCUGCCUCAGGCCUCUCCUCUUCUGGGGCCAAGGGACAACCAGCUCUCAGCCCGGGAGCCUCUCUUUGAGGGGGAAGGUGGUGGUUCCCUGGUGCAUCACCAUCAGGAGAUGAUGGUACCAUCAGCAGGCAUUGUCAACACACCCUGGAGGCAAAUGUCUUGAGUGGUGAGAGUACAGGUGGGCAGUGAUAUAACUUAGCUGGCUCCCAGUACUCUUGAGUGGUGAGAGUAUUGGAGGGCAGUGAUAUAACUUAGCUGGCUCCCAGAGGGCAGGGGGCUCUCCAGUCCCACCGUCCACUCCUGCCUCCCUCAAUUCCCCAGAGGGAUAGACACUUGUGGAGUGAGGAUUCUUCCAGGUGGGAGACACCCCCAUCAUUCUCUUGGGAGUUGUAUCUCUUGCCCAUCCCCAACUGUUCUAGCCAUAUGCAGGUGCAGAUACAAGUGCAAGGCAGCCCGGCACAUUCCUGAGUGUUUGGGGCAGGGCUGAGUGAAACAAAGGCCAGCUUCCCGGGCCAGCCCUCGCAGGCCUGUGUGACAGCAUCCCCAGAACAUUUGAGUGUGCGAAGGCCCUCUGGGAGACACUAAGUCAGGGGGCUUCUGGGGAAUGGAAAUAGAGAUGUUCCUGUGCCCCAGGAGUUGUCUGAUUUCUCUAACUGCCAGCUGCUGGAGGGCAGGGAUGUUGUCCUGUUCAUCACUGGGUCGCCACUAGGCAGGCCUUCAUCAUCUAGCUGGGAUGUGUAGCUGGUAGAGGUGACGUCAUAGUGUGAUAUUAGGAGUUUGUAUGUGACUUGAGCAUGAUGCUUAAUGUCUUUCAGUUUUCUCAUCUGUAGAAUGGGCUUACUAAUUUCUACUUCAUUUAGUGUUUUUUUUUCUUUUUUUUUUUGGUGGCAGGUUAAAUGACUGAAGUAAGCACUGAAUAAACAAUGUGGUUGUUAUUAAA
rnacentral:sRNA from 1 species